AUGGCUGGUUUUCUCUGGAUGUACCCUGGGCCCAGCCUCCACCUGCUGCCAGCCCGCCGCGGGCUCCAGCGCCUCAGAGAUGCCCCUGACACCGGAGUAGCUGCCAUUUAUCGAACUCAUCUGCACAGCAGGCCUUGCAUUUAGCGCUCGACACCUCACGCCUCACUGAGCUCUCACCGGCCUUGCGAGGACUUGGUUGUCUCCACAUUCCCAAGGAGGACACCAGGGCCCGGAGGAGGUCCCUGGGACUCUCUCUUCAGUGAAGGAGUUUCUCUUUCCCUGCCCAUGGCUUAACCUCUUGAAAACACAAAUCAGGAAGUAAUGCCUCAGACUAACUCUGGGAGAACCUGAGCCUGGACCAGGGGGGAAGCCAAGGGCACCUGCCAACAGGUGGUAGGUGAUUUGGAAAUUCACAAAGCAGUACACUUCUCUUCAUAGUUUAUCAACAUCCAGAACCUGGUGAAGAGGCUGUGGUACAGAGAGGUUAAGUAUCUUGCUCAAGGUCACACAGUGAAAGAGGCGAGCCUGGAGCCCAGUCCAGGUCAUCUGAACCCAGAGCCUGUGCAGAGGACUGGGCCGUACACCGGCACGGGCCAGGGAAGGACAAGCAGAGAGCCGAGUAGGGGAAAGAGGGAAGAAGGGCAGAGAUCCAAGUCUGGAAUCUACACCGCCUGAAGCAAAGCAAACCCCAGCACCGGAUGGUCCAGUGGAGAUAGCACAGCUGAUUCUGCUGGGCUCAGACACGGCUGAUUCUGCUGGGCUCAGACACGGCAGCCUCUGGUCCUGCUGCUUUGGGACACCGGUGUCCAUGACACUGCCUUUGCCAGGUAGAUGCCCUCUGACCUCUGCUUCUCCGGUCUCCAGCUUCUGAACACAAGGCUGGUGCUGGUGCAGCUGCCUUACGGGGCAGACGGGGACUGUCUGCACCCUAGCUGCUAGGGAGCCUGGGAAAGCAAGACUCUGACUUCCCCUAAGGUGUAGCCUCGUAAGGGGGCAGGCCCCAGACGUAGGAGGGCAGGUUUUCCUGCGCAGCCCCAAAGAAUGGCAUAAGACUUUGUUUAAUAUAAGCGUGUUUUAAUUAUAUAAUUAUAAUUCCUCCAAUUAUAAAGGCGUGGCAUGAGUGAGAGGUGGUAUGUUGUCAUCAGGAAGCAUGUCCCGUGCUGGGGCCGACUAGCUAGCUUCACGCUCACUUCUGUCCCUUUCCUGCCUCCUUACCUUAGGCGUGAUUGGAACUUCUCCAUGCCCAGCUUCCUCUUUAAUAAAAUGGGGAUAAUAAUUAAACCUCCCUCCGAGGCUGGGCUAAGGACUGAACGAUUUAUCAGACUGUGAGGUUUAGGACCAGAGCAUCGUAUUCGCUAUGUAGUUGUUUGCUGUUUUUAGUUCCCCAACAUUUUAUUAUGAAUGUUUUAGAACACACAGAAAGAAGAGUUUAACCAAUUGGACAGCAAACAUCCUGCCACCUGUGAUCCUUCUCUGUGUUUGUUUUAUCACAUCUUAUCGAUCUGUGUUUCU